rnacentral:rRNA from 1 species
GCCCACUGCGGGCGAGGAGCUGCGGUAAGACGUGGGGUCCGGGCGUUGUCCGGAAUUACUGGGCGUAAAGAGGUCGUAGGUGGUGUGUCGCGUUGUUCGUGAAAACUCACAGCUUAACUGUGGGCGUGCGGGCGAUACGGGCAGACUAGAGUACUGCAGGGGAGACUGGAAUUCCUGGGGUAGCGGUGGAAUGCGCAGAUAUCAGGAGGAACACCGGUGGCGAAGGCGGGUCUCUGGGCAGUAACUGACGCUGAGGAGCGAAAGCGUGGGGAGCGAACAGGAUUAGAUACCCGAGUAGUC